UGAAACUCAUUACAGAAUGCUAAUUCUUUUCUGACAGAAACAAAGGGUUUUAGUCACUGAAUGUUUGCACUGAAUAUCUUUUCCAUAGAACUUAGGCUAGAUGACUUUCCAGUAAAAUUACCAAAAGCUUGAGAUUUAGUAUCCUAACUCUCACUUAUUUCAGCACCAAUCGUUCGAACUCCAUCCCAACAUGAAUGUUUUUUGUGAAAUACUUAUCCACGCUUCUUGUAAAAUAAUUGUCUAGUUCUUAAUAUCAAAAUGACUUGCUAAUUACAAAAGCAGUCACAUGGUUACUGAAACGGUGAAUGGUUAUAUAUUUAGUUUAAUGAAAGCAACUGUCGUUACGCAUCGACACGAAAACGAACACGCUCAUGAGAUACGCGUCGGAGUCUUGUAUACGCAGUUCAACGGUGGAGGCCGGAGGGACGCACGCGGUUGUUUCAAUUACUUCCACACUUUUUGAAGAACACUGGCCAAGUGUCCCACCAGCGAUAGCCUCGAAGAAAAACAACAACAGGUCAAGGUGUGUGUAUGGGAAAGCACUAUUCGAAAGGCCACACCGAUACCAGCUGCUGGAUACCAGUCCAAGUGUAGCUGUGAGGAGGUGACCCAGGACGAUCCAAUUCUGUUUCCAUGUAAUUCAAACACUGGUAGCUGCAAGCAUGCCAGUGUUUCGAAUAUGGAGCAGUAAUCGUAAAACAAGGAAGACGGUUGCAUGUGAGACAGA